rnacentral:lncRNA from 1 species
GGGAGGUUCAAUGGAGUUGGUGGAGAUCAAGAGGUAAGGGUCGGAGGAAAGGAACUUAUGAUCUGACCCUUAAUCUAGAGGAUUUGGUGUGCUAGGGGUCCUUAGACUCAACGCUGAAAGGUCCCCAAGUUUUACAUAUACACCCUCGGUUCAAAGAAAAAGAUAUAGCCGAGCCCUCGGACGAGGCGGAGAAGGGUCGGCGGGGUCGGAACUGGGGCCAGCGGAGAGGGGUCGGGUCACAGGGGUCGGGAGCGGACUGGAGGUUGAGUACUUAAACUCGGUAGAGCUGAGAUAGGGGAUCAGGGACUCGGAUUAAGAUUAACUCGAGAGAUUUGGGGUCAGUCGUCACAGCCUACCCCCCUUAAAAAGAAUCUCGUCCCGAGAUUCGGUUGUAAGAGUAACCAGUGGGGGCGUGUAGUCCUUACCUCCUUGGUUGGAAAGGAAACCUUGAAAGUGCUUGUUCAAGUAUUCUUCUGUUUCCCAUGUUGCUUCGUCUUCUGUGUGGUUGUUCCAUAAGAUCUUGUACAUUUUUACCACUUGGCGUCGGGUGCGCCUCUCCUUCUGGUCAAGAACCUUGGCCGGGUAUUCGGCAUAGGUUAUGUCAGGCUCAAUCUGAAGCUGCUCUUACUCUAAGAUCUCGGUUGGGACUUGGACACAUUUCUUCAGUUGAGAUAUAUGGAAAACAUCAUGUAUGGCCGAGAGCUGUUCUGGGAGUCGGAUCCGGUAGGCAACAGGUCCACAAAUUUCCACAAUCUCAUAUGGGCCAAUAUAACGGGGAGCCAACUUUCCUUUCACUCCAAACCGUUGCACUCUUUUGGUCGGGGAGACUCGAAGAUAUACAUGAUCACCAAUGUCAAACUGCAGGGGUCUUCUUCUUCUAUCGGAGUAACUCUUCUGUCGAUAUUGGGCAACCUUGAGAUUUGCUUGAAUUACCCUUACUUGCUCUUCGGCUUCUACCACUAAGUCAGGGCCAUAGAUCUGUCUUUCUCCAGUUUGUGACCAAUUCAAAGGUGUCCGACAUCUGCGGCCAUAUAAGGCUUCAAACGGUGCCAUCUUCAAACUGGCCUGGUAGCUGUUGUUGUAGGAGAAUUCCGCCAAGGGCAAGCACUUGUCCCAAUUUUUGUCAUAAUGGAUGACACAAGCUCUCAACAUGUCUUCAAGGAUCUGAUUGACUCUUUCGGUUUGACCAUCGGUUUGAGGAUGAUAGGUUGAGCUACGGAUGAGCUUGGUGCCAAGUGAUGCUUGUAGCUGUUCCCAAAAGCGUGCUACAAACUGAACUCCUCGAUCAGAAAUGAUCGUCCUAGGCACACCGUGUAGGGAAAUAAUGCGGUCAAGAUACAACUCCGCAUACUUCUUGGCCGUGUAAGUGGUGUGGACACGAAGGAAGUGGGCAGACUUGGUCAGGCGGUCCAUUAUAACCCAGAUGGAGUCAUGUCGCUGUGAUGUAAGGGGCAGUCCAAAUAUGAAGUCUAUGCUGAUGUCUUCCCAUUUCCAAGAGGGAAUAGGUAGGGGCUGCAGGGUACCUGCUACCUUUAGAUGGCUGGCCUUGACGCGUUGGCAGGUGUCACAUUCUGAAACAUACCGAGCAAUUUCCUGUUUCAUUCCGCUCCACCAGAAAGUUUGGCGUAGAUCAUGGUACAUCUUAUUGCUACCUGGGUGGAUUGAGAACUUGGAGAGAUGAGCUUCAUCUAGGAUCUGCUUCCUCAAGUUGGGGUCGGCUGGUACAACCAGUCGGUUUCCAUAGUAUACGCUUCCAGUUUCGUCCUGCCGAAACUGCUUAUAUCCUUCAUCUUUCCAGGAGAUCUUCCUGGUGAUCCGCUGUACUUCCUCGUCCUUUACUUGUGCUGACCUUAUUUGGUCUUCUAGAACAGAGCCAAGGGUGAUGUGGCUGAGGGUUCCAUGGGAAACAAUUUCCAAUCUGAGUUUUCCCAUCUCAUGACACAGGGUUUCGGUGAAGGUCGUUGCCAACAAGCAGUUGCAACAGGGCUUGCGGCUAAGAGCGUCGGCCACCACAUUGGCCUUGCCGGGGUGAUAGUGUACUUCCAAAUCAUAAUCUUUUAUCAACUCCAACCAUCUUCUUUGGCGCAUGUUAAGGUCAGCUUGGGUGAAGAUGUACUUGAGGCUCUUGUGGUCGGUGUAGAUGUUGCAGUGAGUGCCCAUCAGAUAGUGUCUCCAUAUUUUUAAGGCAUGAAUCACUGCUGCCAACUCAAGAUCAUGGGUCGGGUAGUUCAGCUCAUGAGGUCGUAACGCCCAUGAGGCAUAGGCAAUGACUCGGUUGUCUUGCAUAAGAACACACCCAAGUCCAGUGCCAGAGGCGUCACAGUAUACGUCAUACGGCUUAGAGGGGUCGGGUUGGGUCAAAACUGUGGCUGUGGUCAGCAAGCGCUUUAAGGUUUUGAAGGCUUCUUCACAUUUGUCGUCCCACAUGAAUCUAACCUCCUUCUUCAGCAGUUCUGUCAUCGGCUUAGCUAUCUUGGAGAAAUCCGGUAUGAAACACCGAUAGUAGCCUGCCAGUCCAAGGAAACUUCGGAUCUGGUGCACUGAGGCGGGAGGCUUCCAGUCCAUGACUUCCUGUACCUUGUUGGGAUCGACGGCUAUGCCAUUCCGAGAGAUAGUGUGUCCCAAGAACUUGACACUAUCUAACCAAAAUUCACACUUGGAGAACUUGGCAUAGAGCUGGUGAUCCCUUAACCAUUGGAGAACUACGCGAAGAUGGUUGGCAUGUUCUUCUUUGCUCUUCGAGUACACCAGGAUAUCAUCAAUGAACACCACUACAAAUUUGUCCAACUCGGGCAUGAACACCGAGUUCAUGAGAUACAUGAAGUAUGCGGGUGCAUUGGUGAGUCCAAAAGACAUGACCAGGUACUCGUAGAGUCCAUAUCUUGUGGAGAAGGCAGUCUUAGGGAUGUCACAUGGUCGGAUCUUGAUUUGGUGAUAACCUGAACGAAGAUCAAUCUUGGAGAACACUCUAGCUCCAGCUAACUGAUCAAACAAGACAUCAAUGCGGGGGAGUGGGUACUUGUUCUUGACAGUCACCGCAUUGAGGGGUCGGUAGUCUACACACAUACGUAGACUCCCAUCCUUCUUCUUCACAAACAGGGCUGGGUAACCCCAGGGUGAUGCACUGGGUCGGAUGAAACCUUUUUCCAACAGAUCAUGCAACUGGGUCUUCAACUCGGCGAGUUCAGCUGGUGGCAUCCGAUAGGGUCUUUUGGAGAUGGGGGCGGUGCCGGGGAUUAACUCUAUGGAAAACUCCACAUCUCUAUCGGGUGGCAUGCCGGGCAAGUCCUCUGGGAACACAUCUGGGUACUCAUAGACAACAGGGAGGCUUUCUAGCCGGGCUUGCGAUAGAGGGUACGCACAGGGAAGUGCGGACUUAGGUUGUUUCAAGGGUAGGGUGGAACUGCCAUGGAAGGGUGAGUUGAUGUAGAGAAUUCGGGCAGCUGUAUCUAGGAGCACUUGGUGUCUGGUCAUCCAAUCCAUCCCAAGGAUGAUAUCUAUUCCUUCCAGGUCAAGGAUGAUAAGAUUUUCCUUGAAAAGAGUUUGGCCUAUCUGGAGAGGUACAAGAGUAACGAUCUGGUCUGAGGCUAUCUUCCUUCCCGGAGUGGAGAUCACAUAUGAUCCUUGAGUGUGACCGACACUCAGCUCACAUCUUUCUCUAGUCUUACUCCCGAUGAAGCUAUGGGAGGCUCCCGAAUCAAACAAGACAACAAUAGUUUGAUUUAAAACAAAGAAAGUACCCGUCAUCACUGGCGCACCUUCGGGGAGUUCGGUCAAGCUGGUGUAGUUGAGCCGUCCUUGGCGAAUUUGCACCUUGGGCCUUCUUCCUCUGUUCGCCAUGGAGUUCUGGCCAGGCUGCUGAUUUCUGUUCCUGGGGCAGUCCUUAGCAAAAUGCCCUUCAUUGCCGCAGGUGAAGCAGCGGUUACCAGUUGCAGGGCGCGGUGGUGGUGGUAGGGUCGGCCGGGGCGCCUGUGGUUGGAAACCAGGAAAACGGGGCGCUGCUGCUGGCGGGGGUCGGGCAACCCAUCUUCCCGACGGCUGGGGUCGGCUGGGUGCUUGUGGAGGAACCAUCCGGAACCUUCGAGUUGGCUGGCUCGGAAAUGCCACGGAGGCCUUCCUCUUCUGGUCGGCUUUGAGAGCCUGCAUGCAAUCCUCUUGCGAGAUGGCUAGGUUGACCAACUCGUUGUAGGUAUCCACCUUGAUGGGGUUUAACCUCUCUCUGAGCUCCAAACUUAGUCCUCGGCGGAAUCUGUCCCGCUUCUUCUCAUCUGUGUCCGCAUGAUAGCCGGCAUAACGGCACAAGUCAUUGAAAGAUUGGGCGUAGUGCAGGACAUCUCGGUUUCCCUGGGUAAGAGCCAGGAACUCGUUGAGCUUGCGCUCCAAGAGACCUUCCGGAAUGUGAUGCCCUUUGAACGCGGUCUUGAACUCGUUCCAGCUAACAACAUGGUCGGCUGGCAACAUAGCAUGGUAGUGGUCCCACCAGAGCCGGGCGGAACCACGUAGCUGCUGAGCCGCAAAUCGGGCUUUGUUGUGGUCGGGGCACGGAGCGGUGAGGAGCUCGAACUUGGAUUCGAUUGUGCGAACCCAGGCGUCUGCGUCGAGUGGGUCUUGCGUCUUCUGGAACAAAGGGGGCUGCAUCCCCAAGAAGUCCUCAUAGCGAGCAACAUGAGGCUGCUGCUGAGCCCUUCCCCCAUGGGGCUGCUGCUGUUGUCCUUGUACAAGAUGCCUCAGCAGCUCGGUUUGAGCCGCUAAGAUCGCCUCCAGCGGAGACGGAGGUGGGGGCGGGGGAAGAUCCUGCCUUUGCUCACUGCUGCUGGGCACAGAGCCGGAUCUGGUGUGAUGUGCCAUCUGCAAGAAUCACCGUUCCAUUAAUUUCCUCAGAAGCACUCCAAGCAGAUGGGAACGCACAUGUUAAAUCCUCAAUGCGACUCUUGCCGAUAACGCAAAACACACAGCUUAUAAAGGAGACACCCACUUCCUCUUGCCAUCUUAGCUAGCAACUCUCUUAGUUCCGCACAUGACCUCGGGCGAACCAUAACCAGAUUCCAGGAAUUCCAUUAUAUCCGAUCUUAGGCCAAGGGGUCGGCUAGACGAUACAGCACAGGAAGGGGUCAGCGAAGCGAACCGCACAAGAAAAGGGUCGGUCGAGGCGGAGAAGCGCCUCGAGGGGUCGGGCGCAUCCGACUUCGUGACCCAGGGUCGGCCAACUUGAACCAAGAACCAAACAACAUGAGAUAGAACUCUAAGAAGAGAAGGGGUCGGACAGAAAAAGCAUCCGGAUUUUAACCGGAAACAAGCUGGAAGAAACUAGAAAUCCUUAGAACCAAGGAAGAGCUUUUCCGAGCAACGUUGCUUCUGAGGAGGGUGACUUUACAGAUUCUUAGCUUAUGUCGCAUGCACGGCCUACCUCGUUUCUCAACCAAAACAACUGCCAAAACCUUGGGCUUACGCAGUCAGUGCCGGUGGCGAGGCAACCAGUACGUCUCUCCCUAUAAUAGCUAGUCGGCUCUAGUAACGUCUCUUAAGCGAACGCGGUUAGUGUACCUACAGAAAACACAACCUCAUGAACCUUUCGUGCCAGCACCCACGAAAGCGUUCCCAAACAUUACCGUUCACUAUAGGAACGGCACCCAUGCGUUUAAGGCUGCAUGGACAGCACAAUAACCGUGGAAAUAGGCCCCCUUUGAAUGGAACCAUAUAACCCUUCGCAUACUCGUGAUGCGGAAUCAGCGCACGUAUAAUAGACGUGGGCGAACAACCGUGAUGAUAGGCUCGUUGGAAUCGAACCAUACCACCCUUCGUAUAAAUUAACAUACGGAACCUGCGCACGUAUGAUAAACGUGGGCGAAACAGCCGCGAUGAUAGGGUCCUUUGAAUAGAACUCGCUAUCAACCCUCGCAUACUCGUGAUGCAGACUCGGCACACGUAUGAUACACGUGGCGAAGUGCUGGAAGUUAGCAAGAUAACCAAUAAAUAUUAGCCACCUAAAACAAUCCAAAAAUCACCUAGGGCCUCUCGUACUAAAGUCAUCCUUAACGAUCGUACGAGAUUUUCAAAGAGUUUCUUGCAACUUUUAUCCUUUAAAGAAGUGAUUAGGGCCUAUUGUAUUCUCUCUCUUGCUAAACCAGCUCUGAUACCAGCUGUGGCGGAUCCACUUUGGAUUAGCUUGAUUAAACAUGGUUAAGUCGCCUAACACGCGACACCCAUGCCUUAGCCAAGUUAACACGAAGUGCCGUCGGAUUUCAUCCGAUUUAACCACUUGAACAGGACCGAGUUAGCAAACUCACACGAAGGUGAGUGGUUCCAGAGAAUACAACAAGUCCACUGAGUUGAACAGCUUAACCAUUUAGUUCGGCCAUAAAACAAACAUCAGAGUUUUACAAGGUUUAGAAGAAAAACAACAGAAGGUAAGCAAACGGAAGUUAAACGCCAGGGGUCGGACGUCCCUGGUGAGGCCAGCCAGGACGUCAGUGAUCCCUCUCCUCGCCGUCCGAGGAGGGAUCCCACUCAACCGUCCAACCCGGAGGGAGUUGGGGCGGCCAAGUGCCAACAGAAGGCUCGGGAGCAGCAACUUCACCUGAAAAGAAAAGCCACAACAAGGCUGAGCUACUAAGCUCAACAAGACUUAACCGACAGGAGGAAGCUACUCCACCACUUCUAGACAUGCAAGGCUCUUUGGUUGAGGGGUUUGUUUGCCAAGAAGUGCUAAGUAGAUCCUUACUUUCAAGUUUUAGCUCCGAUUCUAGGUUCAUUAACCGGUCUAAGUUGGCAACUUACUCUAAGCAAUCAUAGAACCAAACAGAGGGUAUAAAACAUCAUCGAGAUCAAGUUAUCAUCAGAUUCCAUCAUUACUCAGGGUGACAUAGCGAUCAAGCAGUCUCAAACUGUGAGAGGCGGACGAAUCGAUUCGAGUUCUUUAACCAUGCAUGGUGAACCUAACCUCACAACAUCUGCGCACCACGGAGGUCGCUUCCUGUGUCGGCCUUCCCCAUCAAUCCCCUAACCCGUGUUGGGCCCAUUUCCUUUGGUGCAAGGUUCCACAGACCCGGCCUCUACCGUUCUGUGACCACGCUUGCCACCACGUGCGACAGCUAGCAGGGGAAACUCCGUUCCAAGGACAAUGGGGCGACCGCUCACGUCUAGGUUCAAUCCGGUACUCGGCUUCCUCAUCCCAUAAUAAGUAUGAGGUUAGUACCUUCAAACACUUGAUCAUGAACACCACCACUGUCGGGCCUUAGCAAGUUCCAUAGACAGACGGGACGAUCAGCCGACCACCAAAGAGUUACCCAAAACCCUGUCCCGUCCAUCGUCCUUAUAGUUGUGACAGGAGGAAAACAACCAACUCCUACAACUCGCGAGUGACAGGAAAUCACUCGAAUUUUACCGCUUCCUAUUUAAGCAAAGCAGCUACUCGGUCCAACAGCUAGUGUUCAGAUCAUGGGAUCUAGUUAUAUAUCUAGGGUUGCAAACAACUCCUAUACGUAAAUGCACAAACAAGAUGCAGAAGGCAUGUGCAAGUUUGGGAACAUAGGGGUUUCAUGCAUCCGGGGCUUGCCUUCAAGCGAGAAGGAAGGGAAAGGGUCUUCUGCUGGGACGGCUUCGGCUUCUGGAGGCGGGAGCUCGGCUACAACUCCUUCUGGCGCCGGGUACAACUCGUAGAAGCCGUCGGCGAGACGCAGCUCUACACGAAUGCAAUGCAUGAGUUAGCACUUUAGACGGUUAUUUCAACAGCAACACUUGCAAGUCUGAGCCCAGAAACUUGCGAUAAAAUACAGGAGGGUGGGGAGGUUCAAUGGAGUUGGUGGAGAUCAAGAGGUAAGGGUCGGAGGAAAGGAACUUAUGAUCUGACCCUUAAUCUAGAGGAUUUGGUGUGCUAGGGGUCCUCAGACUCAAUGCUGAAAGGUCCCCAAGUUUUACAUAUACACCCUCGGUUCAAAGAAAAAGAUAUAGCCGAGCCCUCGGACGAGGCGGAGAAGGGUCAGCGGGGUCGGAACUGGGGCCAGCGGAGAGGGGUCGGGUCACAGGGGUCGGGACCGGAUUGGAGGUUGAGUACUUAAACUCGGUAGAGCUGAGAUAGGGGAUCAGGGACUCGGAUUAAGAUUAACUCGAGAGAUUUGGGGUCAGUCGUCAC